rnacentral:rRNA from 1 species
UACGAAGGGGGCUAGCGUUGCUCGGAAUCACUGGGCGUAAAGCGCACGUAGGCGGACUCUUAAGUCGGGGGUGAAAUCCUGGAGCUCAACUCCAGAACUGCCUUCGAUACUGGGAGUCUUGAGUUCGGGAGAGGUGAGUGGAACUGCGAGUGUAGAGGUGAAAUUCGUAGAUAUUCGCAAGAACACCAGUGGCGAAGGCGGCUCACUGGCCCGAGUACUGACGCUGAGGUGCGAAAGCGUGGGGAGCAACAGG